AAUAACUUAAGCUUUGUCAACAUAUUUUUAUCUACGUUUACUAAAAGAUGUUGAUAGAAGCAUUAAUUUUCUACAGUUAUAUGCAACUGUGGAGCUAAAGAAAGGAAAUGAAUAUACUUAUUUCAACAGUUGUGAUAACUGUUGAGAUAAAUGUUACAAAUAAAGUGGCUCCCUUUUUUUUUUAUUCCUCACCAUAUAAAAAAAAAAAAGGAGUAGAUACAAAAUUUUAAUUGAGAAAAUUUUAUCCACGGGUGGAUAAAUGUUGAUAUUUCUAAUUAUGUUUUUUUUUUUUUUUUUUUUUUUCCACAGUUUGUAUACAAAAUUAUCUCUCCCUCAGAAAAACUUAAGUCUAUUUUCUUUGUAGAUCAAUUUCUUUUGGUUUCGUCUGCUUGAAUUGGAAAAUUUCAAUUUCAAGGCUUCGUACUAAGACCAGGUGGGCUUGCUGGUGCAACCAUUUUGUUGACUUCCAUGAGCACAAAGAGCAAUGCAAGACAGAAAAAUGGUAAAGCCUCAGAGAGAGAGAGAGAGAGAGAGAGAGAGAUGAGUUUUUCUAAAAGAUCAAUGAGGAGGCUCCUGAAAACAAUCCAGCAUACGCUACUAUCUAUGUUGGCAACCUCUCCCAUGAGGCGUGGACUAAUGGGAGGCUAAAGAGUAUUGUACACAGAGCAGUGGUAAACAAAGAGAAGCAAAGGCCCUUCAGAAAGCCAGGUGAUGUUCUAGCAGCUAUAGAAAAUUAUAUUGAAGAAGAUGGAACAAAGAGAAGCAAAGGCUCUUUAGAAAGCUAGGUGAUGUUCUAGCUGCAACAGAAAAUUAUAUUGAAGAACAUGGAACAGAAGCAUUUGAAAUGCUUAUAGCCACUAGCAAGGUAACUGGAGGUGGUGAGGAGUAGCUGGAACAUGUGGGACAAACUUAAGUUGUUUUUGUUCAUACUGCUACAUUUGCUUUGGUUAAAACGCAUGCAAAUUGUGUAAAUUUGAGGCAAUAUGUUCAGGAUAUUUUUUAUUUUGUAAAUUAUAUUAUAGUAGUAAAAUUUUGAAAUUGGUCGUUA